GAUGGCUCUGGUUUUCAUUAUGACCUGAUCCCUUUUCUGCCCGGAGGGUGGGCCUCCGGAGACAGUGCCCUGCCCUGGGGCGCAUCUGGCUAAACGGCCGCUGGGCACCUGGGGUUGCUGAACAGCCCUGGCCGAGGCCCGGCCCCUCGGGAACCUGUCUGCACAUCCACAGAAGGAGCGUAAGCCUUAGGUGUUCUCAGGGGUCCCCCCAGCUGCGACUUUGAUCCCACUUCACAGAUGAUAAACUGAAGACCACGAGGAGAAGUGACUCAGCCCCGCUCACCUUGGCUGUGUGCCCUGAAGCCUCCUCCCAAACAGGCCACCAAUGUUACCUCGUUCUGCUUCAGGAAGACUUGAGGGGAGGGACACUGUGGCCCUGGGACAAGAAGCUUGACAGGGGCAGCCCCCUGGCCUGGGAAGAGCUGGAUGAUUCUGCUCAAACCCCUGACUCGCUGUGUGGCUUUGGGCAAGACCUUGCCCCUCUCUGGGCAUAUCUUUCUCGCAGCACAGCACAGCUCACUGAACAUCCCUGGAUCGGGCAGCAGCCUCCACCACAUCCCUUCCUGAGCAGCCUGGAAGCCCUGCGGGGGCCUAACGGGGCAGGUGGCCAUGAUGGGGACAGAGGUCCAGGGGCGGGCCAAUAAACCCAGAGCUGCGCCAACACCCAGCAUUUACAGAGCACCCCCUACCUAUAUGCAUUCAGCAGCGCACCAGUGGAGAAGAGGGGACCCCUGUCAUCUGGCACACUGGAGCGCCCGUUCUUGUCCCCGGGAAUGCUGAAGCAAGUCCCUCCUCCUUGCACCCUAUUGCCCCUAAGGAGUCUUGACCCCACCUGAAGGGAUCCCGUCCAACAUCUCCUUCUUAGAGCUGCCAACCUCUAGUCCCCUGGCCGGAGAGAAGGGACCCCCAGAAAGCUGAUGGCAGACUUUACUGAAGAUUGUGUUUGGGCUCUGAGCACGAGGAGUGGGGUGAUUUUCUGAGAACAGAGGAGCGGGGACUUCACAAAAAAAAAGACCAUAAGCCUCCAGUGGGCCCAAGACUGGGACCUCCUCCCUAACCCUCCGGCCAUAUGGCAGCGGCCUAGGGAGGAAGUCCCGGAUGAGGGGCCACAAAGGAACAACCUAGCAGAAAGUGAGCCUGGGGUCACGGCGAGGCAGCAGGACUGGCCUUACUUGGCACCUAAGGGAGGGAGUCAGGGAUAAGGCCGGAGGCUAACGCCUUGUAGGUUCUACCUUCCAGAGGUGGCUACUGAUUUCAGCGGCAUGUGGGCACCUCCGUGCUCCUGGAAGACAGAGCCUGUGAACCUGGGUUCCGGGAGGUAGGUAUGGGGGCGGGGGCAGGAGGUCCCCAGCACUUUACCCCAGGGCUCCAACCUGGGCACAGGGAGCAAAGAAUAAAGUAGAACGGAUCACAGGCAGUGCAGCACUCCCAGAUGGGUACGCCCCCUACGAAAUGGGCAGCAGGGUGAGGGGCCAGGAGAACCUCCCAGAACAGAAGACCAUCUCUAAUGAAACACUUUCCUGUGACCUCCC